rnacentral:rRNA from 1 species
GCCAUCAGGUCAAGCUGGGGACGUCUAAUGAAACUGCCUACGCAAGUAGUGAGGAAGGUGGGGAUGACGUCAAAUCAGCACGGCCCUUACGUCCAGGGCUACACACGUGCUACAAUGGCCGGUACAAAGGGCAGCUACCUGGUGACAGGAUGCUAAUCUCAAAAGCCGGUCUCAGUUCGGAUCGGAGUCUGCAACCCGACUCCGUGAAGUUGGAUUCGCUAGUAAUCGCGCAUCAGCCAUGGCGCGGUGAAUACGUUCCCGGGCCUU